AGCGAACGCUGUCGGCAGGCCUAACACAUGCAAGUCGAACGGACCCUUCGGGGUUAGUGGCGGACGGGUGAGUAACACGUGGGAACGUGCCUUUAGGUUCGGAAUAGCUCCUGGAAACGGGUGGUAAUGCCGAAUGUGCCCUUCGGGGGAAAGAUUUAUCGCCUUUAGAGCGGCCCGCGUCUGAUUAGCUAGUUGGUGAGGUAAUGGCUCACCAAGGCGACGAUCAGUAGCUGGUCUGAGAGGAUGAACAGCCACAUUGGGACUGAGACACGGGCCAAACUGCUACGGGAGGCAGCAGUGGGGAAUCUUGCGGAAUGGGCGAAAGCCUGACGCAGCCAUGCCGCGUGGAUGAUGAAGGUCUUAGGAUUGUAAAAUCCUUUCACCGGUGAAGAUAAUGACUGUAGCCGGAGAAGAAGCCCCGGCUAACUUCGUGCCAGCCGCCGCAGUAACAC
rnacentral:rRNA from 1 species